GUUUUGAGUGUUUUGAGUGCAUACCAUUAUUGUUUAUUUUUGCUAAUACUAACCCUUAUGCCAUGAGGAAGUGUGCUUGUUUGUCUCUCUUUGAUUUUGCAAGGCAUGGAUUCGAGGUCGAAUCCUUUUUAAGGAGGGGAGGAUGAUACAAGUACGACCACGAAGAUGGACGCAUGUGAGAAUGUAAUGAACCCGGGGCUUGGAGUGUGCGAGUGAAGGACUUAAAACAUACCAAACCGACCCUAAUCUCACACUUGGAGUGUAAAGAGGAGCCUUGGAACACAACAACGCAGCCCCU
rnacentral:lncRNA from 1 species